rnacentral:lncRNA from 1 species
ACUCUUAAAUAAAAUUGUAUAGAAACUUUUCAUUACCAAAUAGUCUGCAACAAAUCACAUUACGCUCCAUAAUACAUUGUCAUUGUAUAUACACAUGGAAAAAGAACAUCAAAUGUGUUCGAACUCCUACUUAUUAAAUAACCUUAUCCCUUCUCUAUUUUAAGAAAAAAAAAACAAAGGAAUACGUCUUCAAACUAUUCCAAUAUGUUCAAGUUACUCUAAUGUCUUCAGGCCACUCCUUGAGCAACUUCAUUUCCCCAUUGUUGAAGUACUAUCUCCUUUCUAUUAAAAAAACAAAGAAUAACAGUAAUAUAUGCAUGCAUACAAAAAAGAGUUGAUCCUAAGCCAAGUACUAAAUGAAAGCAUAUAAAAAGGAAAUGUCUACUACAACCACAGAGAACUAUGGCAAGUGAAUAUCUUUCAAAAAAUUUAUGCUCAUCCAAACUGGGAUUUUAAGCGAAAGUUGGGUCUUCCGAUACGCUUUUUCGAAGGUGUAAAAGACUUUUUCAAGUUUGACUGAAUUUCCACUGUAAGCCUAGUGGAAGAAAUAAUAUUAAGUUUUGAACAUAAAAUUGUUUGUGCAGCCAAAAGAUCCAGAAACAUAUUCAGUUAUAUCUAGUAGAAGGAACAUUGAUUGCAUUUCCCUUCUAGUUCUUAUCUCAAGCUAUAAACUCACACUAUGCUAUCUUGUCAGCAAUGGAACCUUUAUAUGGUGAUCAACAACAGAGUAAGCAAGAAAUUUAAGCUAAAUUUUACCGUGUAUUAUGAAACUUACUGAAACAUAUCUGGUGUUCAGUGAACAAAAAUAAUUUUAUUAACAGAUUUUGAUACUAAAGAAAAAAAUAGCAUAUACCAGUAACUUCCCAAGAUCCUUUCCUAUGAAUCUGGUUUGUUAAGUACUUCUCUGUAAUAAGGAUUUUGCAUAAAAAAGUAAAAUCUACUGGAGUAGUAUUUUCUCUUUGGUUUAAGACCAGAAAUCAUGCCAAAUAGCAUUAGUUGUGAUAUAAUAUGUCCUUCUAUUUAAAUAUGUAAGGAAAAAAAGGUCAUAGGAAAACAUGAGCUCAGAGUAGAUAAUAAGGCAUAUGCAACUCAUAUUGCAUUGAUAUAGUCAGUUCAUUAGAAGACAUUUUAUGAAAUUCAACCAUUUCAAAGCUCAGAAGUUAGUUCUAGAAUAGGCACUCCUCCUGGCCUAACAACUUUUCUAUAACUGACUUCAAGAUACAAGAAGGAAAUGGUUGAAUUUCCUUUAUCACAUGUCAUAAGGAAAUGGUAAUUAAUAAAAAACAGAAGGAAAGGAAGGAAAUCACAUGUCAACCUAUCUCAAAACUCAUCUAAGUCAUUAAAAACAUGAAAAGUCUUAACUAUGUCAUAAGGAAAGAAAAAUUUCAAUUUCUAUUUAAUGAAAGACUUAAUACACUUAGGACAGAGAGAAAAAAUAUAUUUUGGUAUGUUACCAACAAAAUGUCAUCUUUUACUUGAGACAAAGUCAAAAAUCAUAAUUUUGAUAAUGACCUAGAACUGUUAUCACCUGGCAUCUGCCCCUCCAUUUCUUAAAUGUGCAAAAUAAAUCACAGUUGUACAUUUUUAAAAUAGCUUUAACUGCAUAUCACUCUCUCUCAAAUCAUAAACUUAUGCCAAAAUAUUCAAAUCAAUGAGUAACUUUAUGUUAAAAAUUUGUACCAUGCCAAGCAUAUGAAAAGGAAAACACUCAUGGAAGAGGCAAGAAAAAUUAAAGUGCAUCUCCACCCAAAUACAAUAGACUAAGAACUAACACAAAACUUAAUAAAGCCACCAACUAGAAGAACAAAAGCAAGGUUGAACAUACGAUUUUCCAAACAAGGUUUCGAAAUUUGUAGAUUAUUAAAAAGAAUAAAACAAAAAUAAAGAAAUUAUCUUAUCUUUAGUUGAUUCUACAUAUUGACUAUUGUUUCAUGGAAUGUAGAUAUAAGAUUUUAAUAUUUGGCAAUAAUUUCUUUCCUAUAUGAAACGAUAAUUAAAUAUUGCUCGAUUUACCAGAUUUCAAGUUCAAAUUUUAAUAAAAGUUAACAGAAAUCAACACCAAUUGUAAUAAAGGGAGCCUCAAACAAACCAAGGUAUUUUCUAAUUUAUUCUAUAAUAUAAUUUAAUGGUGGAAGAUUGCUUACAGUAAACGAUGAUGAUAUCAGCAUCUGCUUCUUAAAAUCAGGUACUAUCUGCUCAAACUCGUCAAUCAUCACCGAUGGUCCGUAUAACUGAGAAUUAGGAAAAUAUUUUCAUGCGUGUAGAAUUUUUAAUAUUUUACGACAUGAGUAAUUGGAAACACCAUAUGCACAUCCAAAUGAGGAUCUGUUAUAGGGCACAAUGAACCAAAAACAAUUUCAAUUAAGCAUCAUCCUUCUCUAGUAAGUUAUUUCAAUUUAAGUAGAAACCAAUUUAUGUUCCAAUACAAAAUAUCGUAAUUUACUUUACCAAUCAAAAUAGAGAUCUCCAGUUUACUUAACAGAUAGUGAGCUCUAAUACCACCAACCUACUCCCAAAAAUUAAGAGGCAAAAUCAUCAGCUACGAGCAACAAAUUGAGAGGAACUCCAUUCCUUGGGAAAGUAUCAUAGAAAGGCCACUUGUCCACAUGCUUUGUCAAGAAAAUAUUGAUAAAAUCUUAUCAUGCUUUGUCAAGAAAAUAUUGAUAAAAUCUUCUCAUGCUUUGCCAAAAAAAUAUUGAUAAAAUCUUCUCAUGCUUUGCCAAAAAAAUAUCGUCUCAUACCCAGCAUGAAAAAUCUCAAAUGUACUCCAUAAUUGUCAAUUACUCCUUCCAAUUUUCAUCUAGUCCCGCUCUCGCCAUUUUUAUUUAGGUUAAGAAAAUAGCAAAAACUUUUAGAAAGGGGCUUUUUUCACUAUAGAGUUGAAAGACUUCAAGAUACAAGAAGGCAAAGAAGAAAUAGAAUAGAAGAACUUAUUUAUAUUUGCACGAACUAAGAUUCACAGUUAAAACAGAGCCAAAGGUAAGAAAUCUAAAAGGGAAGAGAGAGAUAGAGAGAGAGGAACCGACAGAAAUAUUUACUGGUAAAGGAAUUGUCGAUGAGUUCGCCGGGUCACAGCAAAGGGAUAGAGGAUCCAAAAGUUCACAGCCGAGGGAACGUUGUUGAGAAGUGUAUUGUAGAAAAUGAUUUUGGCGGUGUUUUCUCUCGUUUGUCUAGGGUUUGUUUUUGUAAUCUUUCAUUUUAAAACCAAAAGCAUUAGUGACAAAUUCGCUGCUACAAUAGAUGGGUAUAUCUAGGGGCGGCUUCCAAGUCGCUACAACAACCUCAUAUUAGUGGCGACAAUUCAUCAGUCGCCACAAACGAAUCUUUUAGCCAAAAUUUAUUUUUCAAGUGAGGAAAAAUUUUGAUUUUAGUUGCACCUAUUUGUGGCUCUUUUUUUAUCGCCACUAAUAUGUUACUUAAUGUGGCAACUAUCCAGGUCACCACUAAAACCCUUAGUAUUGUGACAACUCUUUUCGUCGCCAGAAAAGGUUUCCACCGAAAACCAUAUUUCUUGUAGUGUAUAUAUAAUUGAAAAACAGUAAAAGAAAUGAAACAAUCUUG